rnacentral:tRNA from 1 species
GGCAGGGAGGACAAAGGGUAAGUCGUCAGGCUCAUCACGUGAAGAAACGGGUUCGACUCCCGUCUCUGCGA